rnacentral:rRNA from 1 species
GACGAACGCUGGCGGCGUGCUUAACACAUGCAAGUCGAACGGAAAGGCCCUGCUCUUGUGGGGUGCUCGAGUGGCGAACGGGUGAGUAACACGUGAGUAACCUGCCCUUGACUUUGGGAUAACUUCAGGAAACUGGGGCUAAUACCGCAUAGGAGCUCCUGAUGCAUGGUGGGGGUUGGAAAGUUUCGGCGGUUGGGGAUGGACUCGCGGCUUAUGAGCUUGUUGGUGGGGUAGUGGCUUACCAAGGCUUUGACGGGUAGCCGGCCUGAGAGGGUGACCGGCGACAUUGGGACUGAGAGACGGCCCAGACUCCUACGGGAGGCAGCAGUGGGGAAUAUUGCACAAUGGGCGGAAGCCUGAUGCAGCAACGCCGCGUGCGGGAUGACGGCCUUCGGGUUGUAAACCGCUUUCGCCUGUGACGAAGCGUGAGUGACGGUAAUGGGUAAAGAAGCACCGGCUAACUACGUG